AAUAAUAGCAAAAUGAUGAGCGACAGCGGUGUUGUCACAUCAGGAGUGAGUGAAGAGGCAACCACUGAGAUGAUAAGCCGCACUGACACUGAGCACCCAUCCUCCAGGAGGUAAUAUUCCUCCUCCACUUCC